UACGAAGGGGGCAAGCGUUGUUCGGAAUUACUGGGCGUAAAGGGCGCGUAGGCGGCUUACCAAGUCAGGCGUGAAAUUCCCGGGCUCAACCUGGGGGCUGCGCUUGAUACUGGUGAGCUUGAAUGCGGGAGAGGAUAGUGGAAUUCCCAGUGUAGAGGUGAAAUUCGUAGAUAUUGGGAAGAACACCGGUGGCGAAGGCGGCUAUCUGGCCCGUAAUUGACGCUAAGACGCGAAAGCGUGGGGAGCAAACAGG
rnacentral:rRNA from 1 species